rnacentral:rRNA from 1 species
GCAAGUCGAGCGAGAACGCCCCUCGGGGUGAGUAGGGCGGCGGACGGGUGAGUAACGCGUAGGAAUCUACCUGGUAGCGGGGGACAACAUGUGGAAACGCAUGCUAAUACCGCAUACGCCCUACGGGGGAAAGCGUGGGACCUUCGGACCACGCGCUUUCAGAUAAGCCUGCGUAGGAUUAGCUAGUUGGUGGGGUAAAGGCCCACCAAGGCGACGAUCCUUAGCUGGUCUGAGAGGAUGAUC